CUCCAUUUGGCAGCAGCAUUUCAGCGAGUCAGCAAGUGCAUCCUGGCUGGCUGAUCAGUACGCAGAUAGUUUCAGACUAGGUAUAGCAUUGCUGUCUCUUGCCUGUAAGGGAUAUCAUAGAUGACAUGAAAGAGAACUCAUCUGGAAAAGGUUAGAGACAGAAGACACAAAUUAUAAGAGAAAAGACUUCAUUAGUUCAGCUGUUUGUGGAGCAGCCAAUAAUCCUGGCCAUAUAAAUUACAUCAUGCAAUUAUCAAGAAUCAGAAUCCUGUUGAGGCAAUGAUGAUGUGCAAGUAUAGAGACAGAAUGUUUCCCUUCUGCAUUGAUCAAGACCUAAGGAAAGAAAAAAAAGAAGGCAAUUUCUUAUGUAAAUUCAGAAAAGGACAACUAACUAGAGGAAAUGCUUUACUCAGAGAAUGGUGAGGUGCUGGCACAGGCUGCUCAGACAAGGUACGAAUGGCCCAACUCUGGAGG
ensembl:lncRNA